UACAGAGGAUGCAAGCGUUAUCCGGAAUGAUUGGGCGUAAAGCGUCUGUAGGUGGCUUUUUAAGUCCGCCGUCAAAUCCCAGGGCUCAACUCUGGACAGGCGGUGGAAACUACCAAGCUGGAGUACGGUAGGGGCAGAGGGAAUUUCCGGUGGAGCGGUGAAAUGCGUAGAGAUCGGAAGGAACACCAGUGGCGAAGGCGACUUACUGGACAACAACUGACACUGAGGCACGAAAGCGUGGGGAGCAAACAGG
rnacentral:rRNA from 1 species